rnacentral:rRNA from 2 species
UAAAAAGCUCGUAGUUGGAUCUGUGUAUCGGACGGUCGGUUCGCCGCUCGCGGCGUUCAACUGACCGGUCCGGACGUCCUGCCGGUGGGCUUCUCGGCCCCUCACGGGGCCGGUAGCCCGUUAACCUUCCCUCCGGGCUGCUCUUAACCGAGUGGCGCGGUGGGCCGGCACGUUUACUUUGAACAAAUUUGAGUGCUCAAAGCAGGCCUCGAGUCGCCUGAAAACUGUGUGCAUGGAAUAAUGGAAUAGGGCCUCUUCUCUAUUUUGUUGGCUUUUCUGAGACAGAGGUAAUGAUUAAUAGGGACAGACGGGGGCAUUCGUAUUGCGACGUUAGAGGUGAAAUUCUUGGAUCGUCGCAAGACGGACGGAUGCGAAAGCGUUUGCCAAGAAUGUUUUCGCUAAUCAAGAACGAAAGUUAGAGGUUCGAAGGCGAUCAGAUACCGCCCUAGUUCUAACCAUAAACGAUGCCAGCCAGCGAUGCGCCGACGUUCCUCCGAUGACUCGGCGCGCAGCUUCCGGGAAACCAAAGCUUUUGGGUUCCGGGG